rnacentral:lncRNA from 1 species
CAGAAUCUCACUCUGUCACCCAGACUGGAGUGCAGUGGCAAGAUCUCAGCUCACUGCAACCUCCGCCUCCUGGCUUCAAGCGAUUAUCCUGCCUCAGCCUCCCAAGUAGCUGGGAUUACAAGCAUGUACCACUACACCCAGAUAAGUUUUUUUGUAUUUUUAGUAGAAACUGGACUUCACCUUAUUGGCCAGGCUGGUCUCGAACACUUGACCCCAAGUGAUUCACCUACCUUAGCCUCCCAAAGUGUUGGGAUUACAGGCAUGAGCCACUGUGCCCAGACUAAAAUGCCAUCCAUUUUAAAACAAACUGUUGUUUUAUUCAAAACUAAGAAAAUAAUUUGCUGCUAGACUGUGGAACACAUCUUUAUUACCACUUAUAAUCUUUUUAUGCUUAGUCAAAGAGCUAUUUGAUGUAGACAUAAGUUUUUAAAAAUUAUUAUUGUAUAUUAUUCUUUUGUAUAUAUUAAAUGAAAAAUAUAUGGAAAGUACGUUAGUUAAUGUGUUCUUAAAAUAUCUUCACAUUCAAAAUUUCUCUCUUUUAAAUCAAGUUGGGACCCAAAGGCAUCAAUAUCAGGGGUCCUCCCCCUGUGCCCCUGAAAAAUAAUCCCCUGUUCCAUCAAGGUUCUCGCUGCAAUAUUUCUGCAAUGAGUCCACACUGUCAUCUCUUAUUUCAAGACUAGUUAAAAUGCUAGUUAAAAUGGCACUUUUUUAUCUUGGCAGAAUGUAUUGACAAUAACACGUAUUUCCUGACUACUAUCUAGGGAACAGAGACUGUAUAAGUCCUGAUUUAAUAAAUGUUAUAUAUUUCUAAUUCAUUAUUUUCCUCUUUAUUUUUAUCAUCUUGAGGAGUUUGGAGAAUGAAAUAACUUCUUAAGAAACAUCUUAAACAAGUCAGUUCAAGACUAUCUCUGGUGACUGUCUAUGUAGAAAAUCCAAAAGGAUCAACAAAAUUAAUCCUGGACCUAACAAACAAUUACUGCAAAAUGGCAGGAUACAAUGGU